GGACGGCUGCGAUGGUAGGGCAUGAGACUCUUCAUCUCAGGGUCGUGGGUUCAAGUCCCACGUUGUGUG